rnacentral:rRNA from 1 species
GACGAACGCUGGCGGCGUGCUUAACACAUGCAAGUCGAACGGAAAGGCCCUGCUUGCAGGGUACUCGAGUGGCGAACGGGUGAGUAACACGUGGGUGAUCUGCCCUGCACUUCGGGAUAAGCCUGGGAAACUGGGUCUAAUACCGGAUAGGAGCCAUUUUUAGUGUGAUGGUUGGAAAGUUUUUUCGGUGUAGGAUGAGCUCGCGGCCUAUCAGCUUGUUGGUGGGGUAAUGGCCUACCAAGGCGGCGACGGGUAGCCGGCCUGAGAGGGUGGACGGCCACAUUGGGACUGAGAGACGGCCCAGAAUCCUACGGGAGGAAGCAGGGGGGAAGAAUGAACAAUGGGAGCAAGCCUGAUGCAGCGACGCCGCGUGGGGGAGGACGGCCUUAGGGUUGAAAACUCAUUUCGCUAGGGACGAAGCUUUUUGUGACGGUACCUAGAGAAGAAGCACCGGCUAACUACGUG